rnacentral:misc_RNA from 1 species
AAACUACAAGGGGAGCCGAAGCUCCCCCAGAAGUAGUUGCGUGCUCUAUUUUUAUUAUUGGUUGCGGGCUUCUUGUUUUUGUUGAUCGCCCUCGCCAUGAAGCUUCACCUUCAUGACACUCCCAAUCGGGAGUCAAGAGCAAACGGAUUGCUUUGGUCGCUGUGUUGCUGAUCUACGAUCCAACCAGUUCAGGCUCUGCCUUAGGGCAGUU